rnacentral:rRNA from 1 species
CAAAACCGGUGACUGGGGCUAAGUCGUAACAAGGUAGCCGUACCGGAAGGUGCGGCUGGAACACCUCCUUUCUGGAG